rnacentral:rRNA from 1 species
AUUGAACGCUGGCGGCAUGCCUUACACAUGCAAGUCGAACGGCAGCACGGGGGCAACCCUGGUGGCGAGUGGCGAACGGGUGAGUAAUGCAUCGGAACGUGCCCAGUAGUGGGGGAUAACCAGUCGAAAGGCUGGCUAAUACCGCAUACGACCUACGGGUGAAAGCGGGGGACCGUAAGGCCUCGCGCUAUUGGAGCGGCCGAUGUCUGAUUAGCUAGUUGGCGGGGUAAGAGCCCACCAAGGCGACGAUCAGUAGCUGGUCUGAGAGGACGACCAGCCACACUGGGACUGAGACACGGCCCAGACUCCGACGGGAGGCAGCAGUGGGGAAUUUUGGACAAUGGGCGCAAGCCUGAUCCAGCCAUGCCGCGUGCGGGAAGAAGGCCUUCGGGUUGUAAACCACUUUUGUACGGAACGAAACGGUCUGGGUUAAUACCCUGGGCUGAUGACGGUACCGUAAGAAUAAGCACCGGCUAACUACGUGCCAGCCGCCGCCGUAAGAC